AACGAACGCUGGCGGCAGGCUUAACACAUGCAAGUCGAACGCAUGCCUUCGGGCAUGAGUGGCAGACGGGUGAGUAACGCGUGGGAACCUACCCCUUGGUACGGGAUAGCUCCGGGAAACUGGAGAUAAUACCGUAUGUGUCCUGAGGGACAAAGAUUCAUCGCCAAGGGAUGGGCCCGCGUCGGAUUAGCUAGUUGGUGGGGUAACGGCCUACCAAGGCGACGAUCCGUAGCUGGUCUAAGAGGAUGAUCAGCCACAUUGGGACUGAGACACGGCCCAAACUCCUACGGGAGGCAGCAGUGGGGAAUAUUGGACAAUGGGCGCAAGCCUGAUCCAGCCAGGCCGCGGGAGUGAUGAAGGCCCUAGGGUUGUAAAGCUCUUUCACCGGUGACGAUAAUGACGGUAACCGGAGAAGAAGCCCCGGCUAACUUCGU
rnacentral:rRNA from 1 species